AGAGGCGCAAUGAAAGUGAAGGUCCGCCUCGCGCGGACCGAGGGAGGAUGGGCCGUCCCGCGGGACGGCCCCGCACUCCCGGGGCGUCUCGUUCUCAUCGCGAGAAGAGGCGCACCCAGAGCGUACACGCUGGGACCCGAAAGAUGGUGAACUAUGCCUGGUCAGGACGAAGUCAGGGGAAACCCUGAUGGAGGUCCGUAGCGAUUCUGACGUGCAAAUCGAUCGUCGGAACUGGGUAUAGCGGCGAAAGACCAAUCGAACCAUCUAGUAGCUGGUUCCCUCCGAAGUUUCCCUCAGGAUAGCUGGCGCUCGCCGUGUGCGAGUCUCAUCCGGUAAAGCGAAUGAUUAGAGGCAUUGGGGUCGAAACGGCCUCAACCUAUUCUCAAACUUUAAAUGGGUGAGAUCUCCGGCUUGCUUGAAACGUGAAGCCGCGAGAUUCGGAUCAGAGUGCCAAGUGGGCCACUUUUGGUAAGCAGAACUGGCGCUGUGGGAUGAACCAAACGCAGAGUUAAAGCGCCUAAAUCGACGCUUAUGGGA
rnacentral:rRNA from 1 species